AAUGUUGACCUCGGAUCAGGUAGGAAUACCCGCUGAACUUAAGCAUAUCAAUAAGCGGAGGA
rnacentral:rRNA from 2 species